AAACUGAGGCAGGCAGAGCUGAAGUGACAUGCCUGGGGUGACACAACCGGCACAUGUCAAGCCAGAUUUGAACUCAAGAGUGACGCAGUGGAGAUGAACGUCGGUACGCUGAAUGUCUGCAAAAGCUUUGGACUGCUGGAAACUGAGGCCCAGAGAAAUCACACAGGUGAAGUAUUGGACAUGGAAUGACCUUGUGAGAUUCAAAAGGACUGUAGAGAUCCAGUGAUAGGAGUCCAUGGCAGAGGCUGCUGUAGCAACCACAACCAAUCCGGAGGUUAGUGUUGGUAGCAGUGGGCUGGAGAGCCUCUGUCCUUGCUGAUAGGAGCUGGAAUGAGCCUUCUGCCUUCUAUUUUCCUGGAAUGUUAAUAAAGGUGCUGGUGCCCUGAAGAACUCCCCAGCUGGCAGGAAAAUUGACUGACCUCUUCGAGCCUCAUUUUCCUCUGUUGUACUAUUGAUGUGAGGUGAAGAUUCUGUGAGGAGAUUGAACUAGAAGAUCUGUGAAGACUUUUUUGGCUCUGCUUUCUAGCAACCUGUUUUGAUGACGUGAGAUAUGUUCAUAUUGUGACAUAUUAAUCACAAGGAGACCAAGACCAGGUGCAUCUGGGAUCACUGUCUCCUGACUUAACCUGGUCCCCAAGCCAGUGAUGGACAAACAGGGAAAUAGGAACAGAGCAGCAUUUCCCAGGACCUUCAAAAUCAGAAUUCAACCCAAUAUAUCCGCAAAGUUCCCAUAAUAAUGACUUUUAGUUCUGUAGCACUUUAAGGUUCUACAAAGCACUUUCUUUCCUCACUCCAACUCUAUGAAAUAGUAGUAUAAAUAUCAUGGCCCUACUUUACAGAUGUGGAAACCGAGGCAAGCUGGGUUACACAAACAAGGUCAUACUCUUCACACCCACCUGAAAGGUGGGUUACACAAUUGUAUUAUCUCCAUUUUAUAUACUA